CGCGGCCUAUCAGCUUGUUGGUGGGGUAAUGGCCCACCAAGGCUCAGACGGGUAGCUGGUCUGAGAGGACGAUCAGCCACACUGGGACUGAGACACGGCCCAGACUCCUACGGGAGGCAGCAGUGGGGAACCUUGCGCAAUGGGCGAAAGCCUGACGCAGCAACGCCGCGUGGGGGAUGACGGCUUUCGGGUUGUAAACCCCUUUCAGCAGGGACGAAGAUGACGGUACCUGCAGAAGAAGCCCCGGCCAACUACGUGCCAGCAGCCGCGGUAACACGUAGGGGGCGAGCGUUGUCCGGAAUUAUUGGGCGUAAAGAGCUCGUAGGCGGUUCGGUAAGUCAGACGUGAAAUUUCAGGGCUCAACCCUGAGACUGCGCCUGAUACUGCUGUGACUAGAGUCCGGUAGAGGAGUGUGGAAUUCCUGGUGUAGCGGUGAAAUGCGCAGAUAUCAGGAGGAACACCAGAGGCGAAGGCGGCACUCUGGGCCGGUACUGACGCUGAGGAGCGAAAGCGUGGGUAGCAAACAGGAUUAGAUACCCUGGUAGUCCACGCCGUAAACGUUGGGCACUAGGUGUGGGGCCUUAUCAACGGGUUCCGUGUCGUAGCUAACGCAUUAAGUGCCCCGCCUGGGGAGUACGG
rnacentral:rRNA from 1 species